rnacentral:tRNA from 1 species
GCCGGAAUAGCUCAUUUGGGAGAGCGUAAGACUGAAGGUAUAAACAUGCUGAAAUCUAAAGGCCCCCGGUUCAAUCCCGGGUUCCGGCA